AUGGCACCGUUGCAGAGGCUAACCGGUCUAACAGGCCAGUUAGCCCAGUUUGACCAAACUGGGCCAACUGAGCUCUGCUUGCAGAGGGGGAACAAAGACAGUCCCGCUGCAGUCAGUCAGACCCAUACCAGUCUGUCAGACCCAUACCAGUCAGUCAGCCAUACCAGUCAGUCAGCCAUACCAGUCUGUCAGACCCAUACCAGUCUGUCAGCCAUACAUGUCAGUCAGCCAUACCAGUCAGUCAGCCCCAUACCAGUCUGUCAGCCCCAUACCAGUCAGUCAGCCAUACCAGUCAGUCAGACCCAUACCAGUCAGUCAGACCCAUACCAGUCUGUCAGACCCAUACCAGUCUGUCAGCCAUACAUGUCAGUCAGCCAUACCAGUCUGUCAGCCAUACCAGUCAGUCAGCCCCAUACCAGUCAGUCAGCCCCAUACCAGUCUGUCAGACCCAUACCAGUCUGUCAGCCAUACAUGUCAGUCAGCCAUACCAGUCUGUCAGACCCAUACCAGUCUGUCAGCCAUACAUGUCAGUCAGCCAUACCAGUCUGUCAGCCAUACCAGUCAGUCAGCCAUACCAGUCAGUCAGCCCCAUACCAGUCUGUCAGACCCAUACCAGUCUGUCAGCCAUACAUGUCAGUCAGCCAUACCAGUCUGUCAGCCCCAUACCAGUCAGUCAGCCAUACCAGUCUGUCAGCCAUACCAGUCUGUCAGCCAAACCAGUCUGUCAGCCAUACCAGUCAGUCAGCCAUACCAGUCUGUCAGCCAUACCAGUCUGUCAGCCAAACCAGUCUGUCAGCUAUACCAGUCAGUCAGCCAAACCAGUCAGUCAGCCAAACCAGUCAGUCAGCCAUACCAGUCAGUCAGCCAAACCAGUCAGUCCUCCUCCUUCUCCUCCUCCUGCACCACCUCCUCCUCCUGCACCACCUCCUUCUCAUCCUCCUCCUCUUCCUCCUGCACCACCUCCUUCUCCUCCUCCUCUGCCUCAUCCUACUUCCCAUCCUCCUAUUUCUCAAUCUCUUCUGCCUCCUCCCUCUUGUCCUCCUCUUCUUCCUCCUCCUCGUCUUUUUCUUCCUCGGCUCCCCCCUCCUCUUUCUCCUCUUCCCGCUCCUCGUCUUUUUCAUCUUCCCGCUCCUCCUCUUAUUCAGCUUCCCUCUCCUCAUCUCAUUCAUCUUCCCGCUUCUCCUCUUAUUCAGCUUCCUCACCUUUCCCCUCCUCCUCUUCUACCUCUUCCUCAUCUUCCUCCUCCUCUUCCUCCUUUUCUCCUCUUCCCCCUCCUCCUCUUCCUCCUCUUCCCCUUUCUCCUUCUCAUCUUCCCCCUUUCAUCCCCCUCCUCCUCUUCUACCUCUUCCCCGCCCUCCUCUUCCUCCUCUUCCCCUUCCCCCUCCUCCUCUUCCUCAUCUUCCCCUUUCUCCUUCUCAUCUUCCCCCUUUCAUCCCCCUCCUCCUCUUCUACCUCUUCCCCACCCUCCUCUUCCUCCUCUUUCCCUUCCCCCUCCUCCUCUUCCUCAUCUUCCCCUUUCUCCUUCUCAUCUUCCCCCUUUCAUCCCCCUCCUCCUCUUCCUCCUCUUCCCCUUCCUCUUCCUCCUCUUCCCCUUCCUCCUUCUCCUUAGUACAUAAUCAAGCCUCUGAUUAG
ensembl:lncRNA